rnacentral:lncRNA from 1 species
UGUUCUUUUACUGAACUAAAUGAUUUUUAUUAGGCUACUACAAUAAAUCAAAACGACGGUGGGGGUCGGUGCCGCGGUGGGCAAGUGAUGUAACCGGUGUUGCGGCUUAACACCGGUAUCACCGUCAACACCGUCUAUCGCGGCAAGCCUUGUGUAUAAGUCUACUUUUGCUUAUAUUUCUUAUGGCUGAGAAAAUACUCUGCUCCAACAAGUUGAUCAGGUGAUCCCUCAGAAUGUGCAUACACACUCCCCCUCACACACCUAGUGCAUCACACCAAUGUUCAUAGGGAGUUUUGGCAUUCAGAGCACUCUGCCAUUCCCUUGAUCUCAGACACACACACUUUGGUAAGGUUCCAAAGUUUACUUCAGUUUGUGCAGUGGUGGAUAGGAGGACAGAGUUCAACUCUUUCCUUUCCCACCCUCUCUCAUUUUUCUUCCUUCGGUCCGUCUCUGUCCACUCCAAAGUCACAGUUAACUUAUACACUGCCUGUGGAUCUUCAUCUAAGGUCGGUGGUACUAAGUGAAGGGCUGUGUAAAAGAGGGUUGUAGAGACGAACCCGCUGUGGUGAGUUAAACUUUCAUGAUAUUAAGUUUGAUAACUGAAAUUAUAUGUUGGAACAUA